UAGGGAAUCUUCCGCAAUGGGCGCAAGCCUGAUGGAGCAACACCGCGUGAGUGAAGAAGGGUUUCGGCUCGUAAAGCUCUGUUGUUAAAGAAGAACACGUAUGAGAGUAACUGUUCAUACGUUGACGGUAUUUAACCAGAAAGUCACGGCUAACUACGUACCAG
rnacentral:rRNA from 1 species